UACGUAGGGGGCAAGCGUUGUCCGGAUUUAUUGGGCGUAAAGAGCUCGUAGGCGGCUUGUUGCGUCGACUGUGAAAACCCGCGGCUUAACCGCGGGCUUGCAGUUGAUACGGGCAGGCUAGAGUUCGGUAGGGGAGACUGGAAUUCCUGGUGUAGCGGUGAAAUGCGCAGAUAUCAGGAGGAACACCGGCGGCGAAGGCGGGUCUCUGGGCCGAUACUGACGCUGAGGAGCGAAAGCGUGGGGAGCGAACAGG
rnacentral:rRNA from 1 species